GAUGAACGCUGGCGGCGUGCCUAAUACAUGCAAGUCGAGCGAACGGACGAGAAGCUUGCUUCUCUGAUGUUAGCGGCGGACGGGUGAGUAACACGUGGAUAACCUACCUAUAAGACUGGGAUAACUUCGGGAAACCGGAGCUAAUACCGGAUAAUAUUUUGAACCGCAUGGUUCAAAAGUGAAAGACGGUCUUGCUGUCACUUAUAGAUGGAUCCGCGCUGCAUUAGCUAGUUGGUAAGGUAACGGCUUACCAAGGCAACGAUGCAUAGCCGACCUGAGAGGGUGAUCGGCCACACUGGAACUGAGACACGGUCCAGACUCCUACGGGAGGCAGCAGUAGGGAAUCUUCCGCAAUGGGCGAAAGCCUGACGGAGCAACGCCGCGUGAGUGAUGAAGGUCUUCGGAUCGUAAAACUCUGUUAUUAGGGAAGAAUAUAUGUGUAAGUAACUGUGCACAUCUUGACGGUACCUAAUCAGAAAGCCACGGCUAACUACGUGCCAGCAGCCGCGGUAAUACGUAGGUGGCAAGCGUUAUCCGGAAUUAUUGGGCGUAAAGCGCGCGUAGGCGGUUUUUUAAGUCUGAUGUGAAAGCCCACGGCUCAACCGUGGAGGGUCAUUGGAAACUGGAAAACUUGAGUGCAGAAGAGGAAAGUGGAAUUCCAUGUGUAGCGGUGAAAUGCGCAGAGAUAUGGAGGAACACCAGUGGCGAAGGCGACUUUCUGGUCUGUAACUGACGCUGAUGUGCGAAAGCGUGGGGAUCAAACAGGAUUAGAUACCCUGGUAGUCCACGCCGUAAACGAUGAGUGCUAAGUGUUAGGGGGUUUCCGCCCCUUAGUGCUGCAGCUAACGCAUUAAGCACUCCGCCUGGGGAGUACGACCGCAAGGUUGAAACUCAAAGGAAUUGACGGGGACCCGCACAAGCGGUGGAGCAUGUGGUUUAAUUCGAAGCAACGCGAAGAACCUUACCAAAUCUUGACAUCCUUUGACAACUCUAGAGAUAGAGCCUUCCCCUUCGGGGGACAAAGUGACAGGUGGUGCAUGGUUGUCGUCAGCUCGUGUCGUGAGAUGUUGGGUUAAGUCCCGCAACGAGCGCAACCCUUAAGCUUAGUUGCCAUCAUUAAGUUGGGCACUCUAAGUUGACUGCCGGUGACAAACCGGAGGAAGGUGGGGAUGACGCCAAAUCAUCAUGCCCCUUAUGAUUUGGGCUACACACGUGCUACAAUGGACAAUACAAAGGGCAGCGAAACCGCGAGGUCAAGCAAAUCCCAUAAAGUUGUUCUCAGUUCGGAUUGUAGUCUGCAACUCGACUACAUGAAGCUGGAAUCGCUAGUAAUCGUAGAUCAGCAUGCUACGGUGAAUACGUUCCCGGGUCU
rnacentral:rRNA from 1 species